AUGAACGCUAGCUACAGGCUUAACACAUGCAAGUCGAGGGGCAGCAUGGUCUUAGCUUGCUAAGGCCGAUGGCGACCGGCGCACGGGUGAGUAACACGUAUCCAACCUGCCGUCUACUCUUGGACAGCCUUCUGAAAGGAAGAUUAAUACAAGAUGGCAUCAUGAGUCCACAUGUUCACAUGAUUAAAGGUAUUCCGGUAGACGAUGGGGAUGCGUUCCAUUAGAUAGUAGGCGGGGUAACGGCCCACCUAGUCUUCGAUGGAUAGGGGUUCUGAGAGGAAGGUCCCCCACAUUGGAACUGAGACACGGUCCAAACUCCUACGGGAGGCAGCAGUGAGGAAUAUUGGUCAAUGGGCGAGAGCCUGAACCAGCCAAGUAGCGUGAAGGAUGACUGCCCUAUGGGUUGUAAACUUCUUUUAUAAAGGAAUAAAGUCGGGUAUGCAUACCCGUUUGCAUGUACUUUAUGAAUAAGGAUCGGCUAACUCCGUGCCAGCAGCCGCGGUAAUACGGAGGAUCCGAGCGUUAUCCGGAUUUAUUGGGUUUAAAGGGAGCGUAGAUGGAUGUUUAAGUCAGUUGUGAAAGUUUGCGGCUCAACCGUAAAAUUGCAGUUGAUACUGGAUAUCUUGAGUGCAGUUGAGGCAGGCGGAAUUCGUGGUGUAGCGGUGAAAUGCUUAGAUAUCACGAAGAACUCCGAUUGCGAAGGCAGCCUGCUAAGCUGCAACUGACAUUGAGGCUCGAAAGUGUGGGUAUCAAACAGGAUUAGAUACCCUGGUAGUCCACACGGUAAACGAUGAAUACUCGCUGUUUGCGAUAUACAGCAAGCGGCCAAGCGAAAGCGUUAAGUAUUCCACCUGGGGAGUACGCCGGCAACGGUGAAACUCAAAGGAAUUGACGGGGGCCCGCACAAGCGGAGGAACAUGUGGUUUAAUUCGAUGAUACGCGAGGAACCUUACCCGGGCUUAAAUUGCAGAUGAAUUACGGUGAAAGCCGUAAGCCGCAAGGCAUCUGUGAAGGUGCUGCAUGGUUGUCGUCAGCUCGUGCCGUGAGGUGUCGGCUUAAGUGCCAUAACGAGCGCAACCCUUGUUGUCAGUUACUAACAGGUUCUGCUGAGGACUCUGACAAGACUGCCAUCGUAAGAUGUGAGGAAGGUGGGGAUGACGUCAAAUCAGCACGGCCCUUACGUCCGGGGCUACACACGUGUUACAAUGGGGGGUACAGAGGGCCGCUACCACGCGAGUGGAUGCCAAUCCCCAAAACCUCUCUCAGUUCGGACUGGAGUCUGCAACCCGACUCCACGAAGCUGGAUUCGCUAGUAAUCGCGCAUCAGCCACGGCGCGGUGAAUACGUUCCCGGGCCUUGUACACACCGCCCGUCAAGCCAUGGGAGCCGGGGGUACCUGAAGUGCGUAACCGCGAGGAGCGCCCUAGGGUAAAACUGGUGACUGGGGCU
rnacentral:rRNA from 1 species